UUUUCCUACGGGGGGCAGCAGUGGGGGAUAUUGCACAAUGGGGGGAACCCUGAUGCAGCGACGCCGCGUGGGCGAUGGAGUGCUUCGGCAUGUAAAGCCCUAUCAGCAGGGAAGAAAAUGACGGUACCUGACCAAGAAGCCCCGGCUAACUACGUGCCAGCAGCCGCGGUAAUACGUAGGGGGCAAGCGUUAUCCGGAUUUACUGGGUGUAAAGGGAGCGUAGACGGCCGUGCAAGUCUGAUGUGAAAACCCGGGGCUCAACCCCGGGACUGCAUUGGAAACUGCAUGGCUGGA
rnacentral:rRNA from 1 species